GCGCGAAAACUUCGCAAUGCGGGAAACCGCGACGAGGGGAUUCCAAGUGCCCGCACACUGUGCGUGCUGUUUUCCGGCCUAAAAAGCCGGGAGAGUAAGAGCUGGGUAAGACAGGUGCCAGCCGCCGCGGUAAUACCUGCAGCUCGAGUGGUGAUCGUUAUUAUUGGGCCUACAGCGUCCGUAGCCGGUCAGGUAAAUCCUUGGGUAAAUCGUACGGCUUAACCGUGCGAAUUCCGAGGAGACUGCCUGACUUGGGAUCGGGAGAGGUCGGAGGUACUCCCGGGGUAGGGGUGAAAUCCUGUAAUCCUGGGGGGACCACCAGUGGCGAAGGCGUCCGACCAGAACGAGUUCGACGGUAAGGGACGAAGCCUUGGGGCACAAACCGG
rnacentral:rRNA from 1 species